rnacentral:rRNA from 1 species
CUGCGAUGCAUCUAGAUUAGACUUUGAUCCUGGCUCAGAUUGAACGCUGGCGGAAUGCUUUACACAUGCAAGUCGAACGGCAGCACGGGGGCAACCCUGGUGGCGAGUGGCGAACGGGUGACUAAUCCAUCGAACCGUUCCCACUCGUGGUGUCUGAUCACUCAAAGGCGGUAAUACUGUUAUCCACAAACUCAGGGGAUAACGGGGGAACAACAUGUGACCAAAAUGCCAGCAAAUGGUCAGUAACCGUAAAAUGGCCGCGUUGCUGGCGUUUU